rnacentral:rRNA from 1 species
GGAAUAUUGGACAAUGGGCGCAAGCCUGAUCCAGCCAUGCCGCGUGCAGGAUGACGGUCCUAUGGAUUGUAAACUGCUUUUAUACGAGAAGAAACACUACUUCGUGAAGUAGCUUGACGGUAUCGUAAGAAUAAGGAUCGGCUAACUCCGUGCCAGCAGCCGCGGUAAUACGGAGGAUCCAAGCGUUAUCCGGAAUCAUUGGGUUUAAAGGGUCCGUAGGCGGUUUAAUAAGUCAGUGGUGAAAGCCCAUCGCUCAACGGUGGAACGGCCAUUGAUACUGUUAGACUUGAAUUAUUAGGAAGUAACUAGAAUAUGUAGUGUAGCGGUGAAAUGCUUAGAGAUUACAUGGAAUACCAAUUGCGAAGGCAGGUUACUACUAAUUGAUUGACGCUGAUGGACGAAAGCGUGGGUAGCGAACAGGAUUAGAUACCCUAG